rnacentral:rRNA from 1 species
UGCAGUCGAACGAGUUCUGAUUAUUGAAAGGUGCUUGCAUCUUGAUUUAAUUUUGAACGAGUGGCGGACGGGUGAGUAACACGUGGGUAACCUGCCCUUAAGUGGGGGAUAACAUUUGGAAACAGAUGCUAAUACCGCAUAAAUCCAAGAACCGCAUGGUUCUUGGCUGAAAGAUGGCGUAAGCUAUCGCUUUUGGAUGGACCCGCGGCGUAUUAGCUAGUUGGUGAGGUAACGGCUCACCAAGGCAAUGAUACGUAGCCGAACUGAGAGGUUGAUCGGCCACAUUGGGACUGAGACACGGCCCAAACUCCUACGGGAGGCAGCAGUAGGGAAUCUUCCACAAUGGACGCAAGUCUGAUGGAGCAACGCCGCGUGAGUGAAGAAGGCUUUCGGGUCGUAAAACUCUGUUGUUGGAGAAGAAUGGUCGGCAGAGUAACUGUUGUCGGCGUGACGGUAUCCAACCAGAAAGCCACGGCUAACUACGUGCCAGCAGCCGCGGUAAUACGUAGGUGGCAAGCGUUAUCCGGAUUUAUUGGGCGUAAAGCGAGCGCAGGCGGUUUUUUAAGUCUGAUGUGAAAGCCCUCGGCUUAACCGAGGAAGUGCAUCGGAAACUGGGAAACUUGAGUGCAGAAGAGGACAGUGGAACUCCAUGUGUAGCGGUGAAAUGCGUAGAUAUAUGGAAGAACACCAGUGGCGAAGGCGGCUGUCUGGUCUGUAACUGACGCUGAGGCUCGAAAGCAUGGGUAGCGAACAGGAUUAGAUACCCUGGUAGUCCAUGCCGUAAACGAUGAAUGCUAGGUGUUGGAGGGUUUCCGCCCUUCAGUGCCGCAGCUAACGCAUUAAGCAUUCCGCCUGGGGAGUACGACCGCAAGGUUGAAACUCAAAGGAAUUGACGGGGGCCCGCACAAGCGGUGGAGCAUGUGGUUUAAUUCGAAGCAACGCGAAGAACCUUACCAGGUCUUGACAUCUUUUGAUCACCUGAGAGAUCAGGUUUCCCCUUCGGGGGCAAAAUGACAGGUGGUGCAUGGUUGUCGUCAGCUCGUGUCGUGAGAUGUUGGGUUAAGUCCCGCAACGAGCGCAACCCUUAUGACUAGUUGCCAGCAUUUAGUUGGGCACUCUAGUAAGACUGCCGGUGACAAACCGGAGGAAGGUGGGGAUGACGUCAAAUCAUCAUGCCCCUUAUGACCUGGGCUACACACGUGCUACAAUGGAUGGUACAACGAGUUGCGAGACCGCGAGGUCAAGCUAAUCUCUUAAAGCCAUUCUCAGUUCGGACUGUAGGCUGCAACUCGCCUACACGAAGUCGGAAUCGCUAGUAAUCGCGGAUCAGCACGCCGCGGUGAAUACGUUCCCGGGCCUUGUACACACCGCCCGUCACACCAUGAGAGUUUGUAACACCCGAAGCCGGUGGCGUAACCCUUUUAGGGAGCGA